rnacentral:lncRNA from 1 species
CGCUCAGCCUGUCCUUGGGGGCCCGAGAGCUCAGAGUUGACUGCCUGCCUGGGGAGCAGAGCUCAGCAGAGAUGGGGGCAAUGGGGAGGUCAAAGUGUAAAACACCCACUUCCCAGGCCCCUUUCCUCCCAGAGGGGACAUUGGCCCCCAAAAUCCCCAGAGGCUGUGCUCCAGGCAUCCACAGUGCUGACAACUCCCUCCCUCCCCUGCCAGGAACAACCUCCCAAAGGAAACCCUGCCCUCAAGUCCUGGCCUCAGGAACCCAAAUUGCCUAGCAGGGAGAUCAUCAAAUUGUCCUGUUAAGAUCCAUGCUCUUCACUGAAUGUACCUUACUCCAAAAAGAGAACUGAAAGCAAACAUUGACCUCCAGCUGAUGAUGUGCACGCCGAAGCGUUCCCUGAUAUCAGCAACUUCCAGUGCAACGCGUGGAGCAGCAUUGUUCACGCUGACGGGAGAACCUGGCCACCUGGCUCAGGACGCACACGCCAGCGGGUGGACAGACUGGAAUCCACGUCCAGUUCAGGGAGAGGAAGAGGAAAGGGAACCUUCACGCAUCAUUUGCAUUAAAAUGUCCCCAGCACACCUGGUGUGGUUUCAGAUGUGCUGGGCUCCUGGAGAGAGUUCUGUCACUCACUGGCAAAGGUUUCCGGUGGUCCCCCGCCACCCCAGUUACCAACAGCUCCAGCCCACACUGGGGAGUGGCAGAGAGGCGGCACCCUCAAGCCUGCAAAGACGCCUUUUCAACGCCGGCCCGCCUGGCACUGGCACCAUCACCACCUCCUCCCCCACCCCAAGUGGCCCUGUGAUCACCACGUGGAAGUUCAGGCCCAUCCCAGGCCGUUCUGAAAAUGGCCAGCUCUCUCUGGCAGCUCCGAGAGCUAAAAGGGUGUGA